rnacentral:rRNA from 1 species
AUUGAACGCUGGCGGCAUGCCUAACACAUGCAAGUCGAGCGAGCGGCGGACGGGUGAGUAAUGUAUGGGGACUGCCCGUUAGCGGGGGAUAACUACUGGAAACGGUGUCUAAUACCGCAUACUGUCUGUGAACCCAUAUGGGAGUAGUGAGUAGGUAAGGUACUGGCUGACCUAGGCGACGAUCCCUAGUCGGUCUGAGAGGAUGAUCAGCCACACUGGGACUGAGACACGGCCCAGACUCCUACGGAGGCAGCAGUGGGGAAUAUUGCACAAUGGGCGCAAGCCUGAUGCAGCCAUGCCGCGUGUAUGAAGAAGUCCCUAGGGUUGUAAAGUACUUUCAGUCGGGAGGCGUUACCGACAGAAGAAGCACCGGCUAACUCCGUGCCAGCAGCCGCGGUAAUUC